UGGACUAAUUAGUGCUGCUCUCAGGCCUGUGGGCAGGUAAUAUUGGGUUCGAUUUGACAUUUCCUCACUGCUCUUUUAGUUUAGUGAUCUUGUUAGGGUGGGGAACUUGCAAGGGACCCUGAGCAGCAGGUCUAUUCAGCCGCGAGAAUCUGGAGACCCAAAUGAUAACAUUACCAUGAAUGAAGGUUUAUUAAACAUGAUUAGUUCACAACAUGUUAACAGCAGCAGCCAUUUCACACACUUAAGAAACAGUUUCCCUAAGCAGGAGGGAGACUCGUCCUCCUGUGAAGAAACAAUGUGUCCUGGUGGAGAACUGUGGCGGCUCGUGGUUCAGUUAGCAGCGUUUGGCGGCCCCUCUGGGAUGAGAGACAUGAAGAAGGUGAUGAUGAAGGACCAGGUGGAGGACAGGAAACCCGUGUGUGGGGCGCUGUUCGGAUCUUCUGCUGCUUCCUCUCCACUUUCCCCAUCAUCGUCUGACCCAUCGUCCAACACUCCUUCCUAUAGUGUAAUAGGAGGACAAUCGGGUGUUAAACAGUAGCACUAAAAUGCACCAGAUUAUAUUUGACUGAGAUGAGAUUCCAUUAUGUUAACUUGAGCAUUUGCUCACUAAUGCAAAGUUACUCCCAUGUCUGACCAAUUCAGACUCAUCGUAUGCAGAUAAAGUAUUUCAGUCAAUGUCCAUUUUGUACUUUAAAGUAAACCUGUAACCAACAUUUAAAGACAAAUAAAUUCCAUUUACUUUCAUAACUGUAACAUGGAUUUGGUGACUUGAAAAAACUGUACUUUUACUUUUGAUUGAAAGUGUUCUUUGAUACAUUUCACAUCACAUCCGCUGAAGAGUUAAAGCAAAACUCUCCAGCAAAAAAUAAUAUAUAAUGUAUCAUAUGAAAUGCUUGAUCAUGUUUGAUCCUCCAGCGUGACUUCUACAUUGGUUUAGGAUAUUUUAACUGCAGUGAUUUGAGUGAGGCAUUUCUGAUGUUA